AAAAAAAAUAAAUUGAAGAAAAAAAUGGAAAAAGAAAAUUAUUGUGAUAGUUUGUCCCGAAGUUCUGAAGAAGAAAUAAAUUAUUGCAGUUUUAAUUUACUGAGGUCACACUUGGGCUCUGCAAAAUCAAAAGUUCCAAAUGAGAGGACGAUACUGACCAGCAAUUUUGGGCGGAAGACGAACUAAGCAGCCAAGAAUGUCGCGUGCAAUUAUCUAAGCGCAAGAGACGUCGCAGUCUAGCGCACAGAAAUCGGUUAUAUAGGAGCCGAUCAAGGCCGAAAAAUUUAUCUAGCUCGAGUGGAAGAUCAGUCUCAAGGAAUCCUGCAAUGAAAAGAAAAAAAUUAACCAAGAAAUUGCUGAAUGUGAAGAGUUUUUCUGGAGCUUCUCAGCCGUCCAGUAGCUCCAGGAGCGACAGAA